rnacentral:rRNA from 1 species
CAAUAGCGUAUAUUUAAGUUGUUGCAGUUAAAAAGCUCGUAGUUGGAUUUCUGUGAGAGUGCCGGUGUCGGCUGAUGCUUGUACGCAGGCGCUCUUACAUCCUUCUGUUAACUGAUCUUGGCAUUUUAUUGCUGGUUCAGGGCUCAGAUAUUUUACCUUGAGAAAAUUAGAGUGUUUCAGGCAGGCUUAUGCCGGAAUACAUUAGCAUGGAAUAAUGGAACAGGACCUGUGCGUCUUUCGGGGCGCCGGUCUCCGUUAUUGGUUUCGGGGACUAAAGUAAUGAUUAAUAGGGAUAGUUGGGGGCAUUAGUAUUUAAUAGUCAGAGGUGAAAUUCUCGGAUUUGUUAAAGACUAACUUAUGCGAAAGCAUUUGCCAAGGAUGUUUUCAUUAA